rnacentral:rRNA from 1 species
AAAGGGUGUGUAGGCGGGUAUUUAAGUCAGUGGUGAAAUCUCCGAGCUCAACUCGGAAACUGCCAUUGAUACUAUUUAUCUUGAAUAUUGUUGAGGUAGGCGGAAUAUGUCAUGUAGCGGUGAAAUGCUUAGAUAUGACAUAGAACACCGAUUGCGAAGGCAGCUUGCUAAACAAUUAUUGACGCUGAGGCACGAAAGCGUGGGGAUCAAACAGGAUUAGAUACCCCUGU